rnacentral:ncRNA from 1 species
GGGUGCGGUGCCUCUGCACCGCAGGUCUCCCCGGUUGGUCGGGCCGCCAGCC